GUGUUUAUUCAAAGGAGAGACGGUUAGAACUCCCCUAAACAAGGAUGGAGCCCUCAUAUUGUUAAGACCACUUUUUUAU
rfam:Papilio machaon contig30503, whole genome shotgun sequence.